ensembl:lncRNA
GAACUUCCUGGCUAAGUUUUCUGGAGCUGCCUGCCAGAGUCCAUCUCAGCUAACAUCCUCAGGACACACUUGGAUCUCUUAAUGAUGUAGUCUCUAUAAGGAGAGAGUGUAUCAUAUGCUGCCAGGAAGUUAAGGAGAGAAACUGUUCUCUUGCCCAUCUCUGACAUACCUAAUCAGGCAAGCGGCCAAAGCUUGCUUAAAAAUUGUUUAGCUAUGAGCAUUGAGAACUACGUAUUUUUUUCUUCUGGAGUAAAUAGCCCUUACCUAUGGAGCCUCUUUUUUUAAUUUACAAAAGGAGAAAAAGAAGACUGCUUCGUCUUUACUUAAGCACAAACUCCUCAAAAGAUUAAUGAAGAUGACAGUGCUGUACAAAUGCUUCUUUAAAAACAGAGAUAAGUGGUGGUGGAACAAAAGUCUGGCAGAAUUCCCAGUGCUCUCUGGGGUCAAAUGGAUUGCAUAUUGAAAAAUUAUCAUCAGUGUUUCAAAGAAGGAGGACCACCAGCAAUUAACAUCAAAAUAGCACAGAUUUUUGUUCUCCCCUCAUUGGUCAACUGCCUCAUUCUUACCCAUUGGCAAAAACCGCUUAUGUCUUGAAUGAUAAUUUUUUCCUACAUACAGAUUGAUCCAGGAGAAAAGAGUAUGCCCUUGAAAAAUAGAAAUCAUAUUGAAACAAGUGGAUCCCAUCUGCUAAAAAAUAAAUAUCAUGGAAAAAAG